CUGUCAAGAUUUCUGUUCCAGAUCAACGUUUUCAACAUAUACAUCUUGAUUUAAUUGGACCUCUUCCUGUCUGUCAAGGUUUUCGGUAUUGUCUUACUAUGAUUGAUCGGUUCUCCAGAUGGCCUGAAGCUGUUCCUUUAUCUGAAUAAAAGAAAUUAUUUAUUCUUUUGUAUAUCAAUAGAGAAAAUACGCAGCUUCUUUGCAGUCUUCUUUCUUGUUGCUUGAAAGAGUUUCAAUCACCACAAUCAUAUUAAUUAAUUCAUCACUCAAACUGACAAAAUAUACGAUUAAGCUCAGUUACGUAAGUUUAAUCCAAUAUAAUAAUUGGAAAAUAGAAGUCAUAAGAUAAAUCAAUUAAAACACAAAUCUGUAUUACGCUAUACAUACGCAACUUAAGAUUUGAUUUUAUUUUUAUCGUACAAGAGUAAAAUUAAUUCCCCGCGUGAAACUUACGAAAUCUCCUACGAAAUUCGAUAUAAAUCCACUUUUCUCUGCCCUCUGCCGCCUUCGCCCGAUGCGAAACAUGUUUCCAUGUGAGAGAGUGGAUGGGCCAUAGCAGAGGACGAGGAGGCGUAAGUGCUUCUUGUUGGAAAAAUUAUAUGAUAGCCGAGAGAGCGCAAGCUUUUUCCCCCCUCGACUCUGUUCUGCUCUUUUCCCUCCAGCCUCGGAUUAGAAAAUAUGAUUAGCUUCGUGCCGGGAAGUUUAUUCGGGGGUAACGGCAGGGCGGAAAACGGGAAAAGGGGUGGUGGCCGUUCGUACCCUUCGGAUUUUAUGGAUGACCAUGGUCCCUUAUGUGUCUCGAUACAACGGCGCUUUCCAUGAAACGGUCUCUACACUGCUGCGUCUAAUUCGCACAACACGCCGAGCGAUUCCACGAGCUUUUAUCGUUAUUACACGUGUUUCUUUGAUAACGUCUCUUAGCUCGCCAAAUAAAUUACAGAGUGCAGCGAUAAUAAAUCACGGAUACCGUGGUGGUAAAAAAGCUUUAAAAAAAAAAAAA